rnacentral:tRNA from 1 species
UCCCUGGUGGCUCAGCUGGUAAAGAACCCGCCUACAAUGCGGGAGACCUGGGUUCAAUCCCUGGGUUGGGAA